rnacentral:rRNA from 1 species
UACGGAGGGUGCGAGCGUUGUCCGGAAUCACUGGGCGUAAAGGGCGCGUAGGUGGUGACCUAAGCGUGCGGUGAAAGCCCGAGCUCAACCUCGGGUCGGCCGUGCGAACUGGGUCACUGGAGCAGAAUAGAGGCAGGUGGAAUUCCGGGUGUAGCGGUGGAAUGCGUAGAGAUCCGGAAGAACACCGGUGGCGAAGGCGGCCUGCUGGGUUCUGGCUGACACUGAGGCGCGACAGCGUGGGGAGCAAACAGG